rnacentral:rRNA from 1 species
UGGGGAAUUUUGGACAAUGGGCGAAAGCCUGAUCCAGCAAUGCCGCGUGUGUGAAGAAGGCCUUCGGGUUGUAAAGCACUUUUGUCCGGAAAGAAAUCCUUGGCUCUAAUACAGUCGGGGGAUGACGGUACCGGAAGAAUAAGCACCGGCUAACUACGUGCCAGCAGCCGCGGUAAUACGUAGGGUGCAAGCGUUAAUCGGAAUUACUGGGCGUAAAGCGUGCGCAGGCGGUUUGCUAAGACCGAUGUGAAAAUCCCCGGGCUCAACCUGGGAACUGCAUUGGGUGACUGGCAGGCUAGAGUAUGGCAGAAGGGGGGUAGAAUUCCACGUGUAGCAGUGAAAUGCGUAGAGAUGGUGGAGGAAUACCG